rnacentral:rRNA from 1 species
GACGAACGCUGGCGGCGGGCUUAACACAUGCAAGUCGAACGGAAAGGCCCUGCUUUUGUGGGGUGCUCGAGGGGCGAACGGGUGAGUAACACGUGAGUAACCUGCGCUUGGCGUGGGGAUAACUGCAGGAAACUGGGGCUAAUACCUGAGAGGAGCUCCUGCUGCAUGGUCGGGGUUGGAAAGUUUCGGCGGUUGGGGAUGGACUCGCGGGUUAUCAGCUGGUGGGUGGGGUAGUGGCUUACCAAGGCUUUGACGGGUAGCCGGCCUGAGAGGGUGACCGGCCACAUUGGGCCUGAGAUACGGCCCAGACUCCUACGGGAGGCAGCAGUGGGGAAUCUUGCACAAUGGGCGGAAGCCUGAUGAAGCAACGCCGCGUGCGGGAUGACGGCCUUCGGGUUGUAAACCGCUUUCGCCUGUGACGAAGCGUGAGUGACGGUACUGACUAAAGAAGCACCGGCUAACUACGUG